UUGGAGUGAGUGGCGAACGGGUGAGUAACACGUGAGUAACCUCGCCCCCUUCCUUUGGGAUAACGCCCGGAAACGGGUGCUAAUACUGGAUAUUCACUGAUCUUCGCAUGGGGGUUGGUGGAAAGGUUUUUCUGGUGGGGGAUGGGCUCGCGGCCUAUCAGCUUGUUGGUGGGGUGAUGGCCUACCAAGGCUUUGACGGGUAGCCGGCCUGAGAGGGUGACCGGUCACAUUGGGACUGAGAUACGGCCCAG
rnacentral:rRNA from 1 species